UAGUAGAUUACAUAUUUUCUCCAUGAUAGAGGCAACCUGUGUGAUCUCUUGUGCAUGAGUCAAACAUAGAUGUAGUAGAGAUUACCUGGUUUCUCCAUGAUAUAGCCAAGUUGUGUCAUCCCUUACAAACCCAUCGCAUAUCAAAUGUUCAUAAACAGGUUCUUGAACAAACCAUAAACUCUUAUUGCAUUUCUUACCUGGACAUAAAAUCUUAUUCUC
rnacentral:lncRNA from 1 species